rnacentral:misc_RNA from 1 species
UAUGCCAUGUCAAUGAAUUUGAUGUCAGAUGCAGAAGUACAUUUUAAGAAAGCCUUGAAUCUUUCUCAUAACCAAUGUGAUACCUAUUACCUUGCUGCUAUCAGCUUAGCAAUAGUUUAUAUUAGAUUUGGUGCUCAACAAGCAAUACCUUUCAAAGAACUUCUUCACACAUUUAAUGAAAAAGCUGUUACAAGGUCCAAAGUCAUUCGCUCUGCAUACUUUUAUAUGCAAGGACUAAAGAUGUUCUUUUAUUCUAAAUUGGAAGAAUCAAAGCUUUUUUUAAUGGAAAGUUUAAGAAUCAGUAACACAGAAGAUUUAUCACGCAUGACAGCUUGCUCAUUGAUGCUGCUAAGUCAUGUGACAUUUGCUAUGGGAAAUCCACAAGAAACUAUUAGCAAGGUUGUUCCAGCUAUGCAGUUGGCAAACAAAAUUCCAGAUAUUUAUUUACAACUCUGGGGCUCUUCUUUGUUAAAAGAUUGCUAUAGUUUGACCAAUGAUGUUGUUCGAUAUGAAGAAGGAUCUCAGCUUCACAGUAAAUGUACUACUCAACUUCUUCAAGAUCAUUAUACAGCUGUAUCACAGCCUGAACAUAAUUUAUUGAAAUUUGAUUUAACUCAACAUCUCUGAGGUGACAACUUGAUUUGACUCAACAGCUCUAAGGGUUGACUUGGUUUGACUUGGUUUGACUUAACAAAGCCUGAGGAUUUUAUUUAAUGUCAAUGAAAAUGGUUAUCAAUAAAUCCCUGAAGAUUUAUGCUUAAAACUCUUUGGAUUUUUCUUCAAAAAGUUUUUAACAUUUGUAUUCUUGUAAUAGUUGAUUGGUUUGCAAACAUUUUAAAAUUGUUUUAAAUUUAAAGUCAUAAAUAUGGGUUAGUUUGCAAACAUUUUCAUAUUGUUUUAAAUUUUAAGUUGUAAAUAUUGGUUUGCAAACAUUUGUAUUGUUAUUAUUAAAUGAAAAG